rnacentral:rRNA from 1 species
GACGAACGCUGGCGGCGGGCCUAACACAUGCAAGUCGAACGAGUGGCGGACGGGUGAGUAAUGUCUGGGAAACUGCCCGAUGGAGGGGGAUAACUACUGGAAACGGUAGCUAAUACCGCAUACCAUCGGAUGUGCCCAGAUGUGAUUAGCUAGUAGGUGGGGUAACGGCUCACCUAGGCGAAGAUCCCUAGCUGUGCUGAGAGGAUGACCAGCCACACUGGAACUGAGACACGGUCCAGACUCCUACGGUAGGCAGCAGUGGGGAAUAUUGCACAAUGGGCGCAAGCCUGAUGCAGCCAUGCCGCGUGAAUGAAGAAGGCCUUCGGGUUGUAAAGUACUUUCAGCGAGGAGGCGGUACUCGAAGAAGAAGCACCGGCUAACUCCGUGCCAGCCGCCGCGGUAAUAC